rnacentral:rRNA from 1 species
UACGGAGGGUGCAAGCGUUAUCCGGAUUUACUGGGCUUAAAGGGUGCGUAGGCGGGUCGGUAAGUCAGUGGUGAAAUCUUCGAGCUUAACUCGGAAACUGCCAUUGAUACUAUUUAUCUUGAAUACUCUGGAGGUAAGCGGAAUAUGUCAUGUAGCGGUGAAAUGCUUAGAUAUGACAUAGAACACCAAUUGCGAAGGCAGCUUACUACAUAGUUAUUGACACUGAGGCACGAAAGCGUGGGGAUCAAACCGG